UUUAAGGUGGUGCAAGGGUGAGCACGCAGAGGUUUUGCACUGUUUACGGAGGUUCGAAUCCUCCCUUCGAAA
rnacentral:tRNA from 1 species